GGCUUUAUAUUCUAAUGUCGGAUUUCAGAUUGCAAAUUUGAAGGUGCUCAAUUGUAGCUAAAGCUU
rnacentral:tRNA from 1 species